AACGAACGCUGGCGGCAUGCCUAACACAUGCAAGUCGAACGAGACCUUCGGGUCUAGUGGCGCACGGGUGCGUAACGCGUGGGAACCUGCCCUUAGGUUCGGAAUAACUCCCCGAAAGGGGUGCUAAUACCGGAUAAUGUCUUCGGACCAAAGAUUUAUCGCCUUUGGAUGGGCCCGCGUUGGAUUAGCUAGUUGGUAGGGUAAAAGCCUACCAAGGCGACGAUCCCUAGCUGGUCUGAGAGGAUGAUCAGCCACACUGGGACUGAGACACGGCCCAGACUCCUACGGGAGGCAGCAGUGGGGAAUAUUGGACAAUGGGCGAAGGCCUGAUCCAGCAAUGCCGCGUGAGUGAUGAAGGCCUUAGGGUUGUAAAGCUCUUUUACCCGGGAUGAUAAUGACAGUACCGGGAGAAUAAGCUCCGGCUAACUCCGUG
rnacentral:rRNA from 1 species